rnacentral:rRNA from 1 species
GACGAACGCUGGCGGCGUGCUUAACACAUGCAAGUCGAACGGAAAGGCCCUGCUUUUGUGGGGUGCUCGAGUGGCGAACGUGUGAGUAACACGUGAGUAACCUGCCCUUGACUUUGGGAUAACUUCAGGAAACUGGGGCUAAUACCGGAUAGGAGCUCCUGCUGCAUGGUGGGGGUUGGAAAGUUUCGGCGGUUGGGGAUGGACUCGCGGCUUAUCAGCUUGUUGGUGGGGUAGUGGCUUACCAAGGCUUUGACGGGUAGCCGGCCUGAGAGGGUGACCGGCCACAUUGGGACUGAGGUACGGCCCAGACUCCUACGGGAGGCAGCAGUGGGGAAUAUUGCACAAUGGGCGGAAGCCUGAUGCAGCAACGCCGCGUGCGGGAUGACGGCCUUCGGGUUGUAAACCGCUUUCGCCUGUGACGAAGCGUGAGUGACGGUAAUGGGUAAAGAAGCACCGGCUAACUACGUG